rnacentral:rRNA from 1 species
GACGAACGCUGGCGGCGUGCCUAAUACAUGCAAGUAGAACGCACAGUUUAUACCGUAGCUUGCUACACCAUAAACUGUGAGUUGCGAACGGGUGAGUAACGCGUAGGUAACCUGCCUGGUAGCGGGGGAUAACUAUUGGAAACGAUAGCUAAUACCGCAUAAUAUUGAUUAUUGCAUGAUAAUUGAUUGAAAGAUGCUAUUGCAUCACUACCAGAUGGACCUGCGUUGUAUUAGCUAGUAGGAGAGGUAACGGCUCACCUAGGCGACGAUACAUAGCCGACCUGGGAGGGUGAUCGGCCACACUGGGACUGAGACACGGCCCAGACUCCUACGGGAGGCAGCAGUAGGGAAUCUUUGGGAAUGGACGAAAGGCUGACCGAGCAACGCCGCGUGAGUGAAGAAGGUUUUCGGAUCGUAAAGCUCGGUUGUAAGAGAAGAACGGGUGUGAGAGUGGAAAGUUCACACUGUGACGGUAGCUUAUCAGAAAGGGACGGCUAACUACGUG